rnacentral:rRNA from 1 species
UGCAAGUCGCACGGGUGGUUUCGGCCAUCAGUGGCGGACGGGUGAGUAACGCGUAGGAACGUGUCCAGAGGUGGGGGACAACCCCGGGAAACUGGGGCUAAUACCGCAUGGGGGCUGAGGCCCAAAGCCGAGAGGCGCCAUUGGAGCGGCCUGCGUCCGAUUAGGUAGUUGGUGGGGUAAAGGCCUACCAAGCCUGCGAUCGGUAGCUGGUCUGAGAGGACGACCAGCCACACUGGGACUGAGACACGGCCCAGACUCCUACGGGAGGCAGCAGUGGGGAAUAUUGGACAAUGGGCGAAAGCCUGAUCCAGCAAUGCCGCGUGGGUGAAGAAGGUCUUCGGAUCGUAAAGCCCUUUCGACGGGGACGAUGAUGACGGUACCCGUAGAAGAAGCUCCGGCUAACUUCGUGCCAGCAGCCGCGGUAAUACGAAGGGGGCUAGCGUUGCUCGGAAUUACUGGGCGUAAAGGGCGCGUAGGCGGCGGCCCAAGUCAGGCGUGAAAUUCCUGGGCUCAACCUGGGGACUGCGCUUGAUACUGGGUUGCUUGAGGAUGGAAGAGGCUCGUGGAAUUCCCAGUGUAGAGGUGAAAUUCGUAGAUAUUGGGAAGAACACCGGUGGCGAAGGCGGCGAGCUGGUCCAUUACUGACGCUGAAGCGCGACAGCGUGGGGAGCAAACAGGAUUAAAUACCCUG